rnacentral:rRNA from 1 species
UACGGAGGGGGCGAGCGUUAUUCGGAAUUAUUGGGCGUAAAGCGUGCGCAGGCGGUUAUGUAAGACAGAUGUGAAAUGCCCGGGCUUAACCUGGGAACUGCAUUUGUGACUGCAUGGCUAGAGUUUGGCAGAGGGGGGUAGAAUUCCACGUGUAGCAGUGAAAUGCGUAGAUAUGUGGAGGAACACCGAUGGCGAAGGCAGCCCCCUGGGUCAAGACUGACGCUCAUGCACGAAAGCGUGGGGAGCAAACAGG